rnacentral:rRNA from 1 species
CGCUAUCUGUAGUCGUGGGGCAGCAGGUCUGUAGCAAUACAGAUGCUGGCGACCGGCAAACGGGUGCGGAACACGUACACAACCUUCCUUUAAGUGGGGAAUAGCCCGGGGAAACCCGGAUUAAUACCCCGUAAGAUGAUGAAGUGGCAUCACUUUAUUAUUAUAGCUCCGGCGCUUAAAGAUGGGUGUGCGGCUGAUUAGGCAGUUGGCGGGGUAACGGCCCACCAAACCUACGAUCAGUAACUGGUGUGAGAGCACGACCAGUCACACGGGCACUGAGACACGGGCCCGACUCCUACGGGAGGCAGCAGUAAGGAAUAUUGGUCAAUGGACGCAAGUCUGAACCAGCCAUGCCGCGUGGAGGAUGAAGGUCCUUCGGAUUGUAAACUUCUUUUAUCUGGGAAGAAAUCCAUCUUUUCUUGGGUGGUUGACGGUACCAGAUGAAUAAGCACCGGCUAACUCCGUGCCAGCAGCCGCGGUAAUACGGAGGGUGCAAGCGUUAUCCGGAUUCACUGGGUUUAAAGGGUGCGUAGGUGGAUUGGUAAGUCAGUGGUGAAAUCUCCAGGCUUAACUUGGAAACUGCCAUUGAUACUAUCAGUCUUGAAUACCGUGGAGGUCAGCGGAAUAUGUCAUGUAGCGGUGAAAUGCUUAGAUAUGACAUAGAACACCAAUUGCGAAGGCAGCUGGCUACACGAAUAUUGACACUGAGGCACGAAAGCGUGGGGAUCAAACAGGAUUAGAUACCCUGGUAGUCCACGCCCUAAACGAUGGAUACUCGACAUACGCGAUAUACAGUGUGUGUCUGAGCGAAAGCAUUAAGUAUCCCACCUGGGAAGUACGAUCGCAAGAUU